UGAACGCUAGCUACAGGCUUAANCAUGCAAGUCGAGGGGUCUCAACGGAGCUUGCUUCAGCGAGACGACCGGCGCACGGGUGAGUAACGCGUAUCCAACCUGCCCUUCAUAUUGGGAUAGCCUCUCGAAAAGGGGAGAUUAAUACCGAAUAACAUGAGAAAGUUGCCUGAUUUUCUCAUGAAAGCUCCGGCGAUGAAGGAUGGGGGAUGCGUUCCAUUAGGUAGUAGGCGGGGUAACGGCCCACCUAGCCUACGAUGGAUAGGGGUUCUGAGAGGAAGGUCCCCCACACUGGAACUGAGACACGGUCCAGACUCCUACGGGAGGCAGCAGUGAGGAAUAUUGGUCAAUGGUCUGACGACUGAACCAGCCAUGCCGCGUGAAGGUGACGGCCCUAUGGGUCUUAAACUUCUUUUGCAAGGGAGCAAUAAGGCGCACGUGUGCGUCGAUGAGAGUACCUUGCGAAUAAGCAUCGGCUAACUCCGUG
rnacentral:rRNA from 1 species